rnacentral:rRNA from 1 species
AGUGAACGCUGGCGGUAGGCCUAACACAUGCAAGUCGAACGGCAGCACAGGAGAGCUUGCUCUCUGGGUGGCGAGUGGCGGACGGGUGAGGAAUACAUCGGAAUCUACUCUGUCGUGGGGGAUAACGUAGGGAAACUUACGCUGAUACCGCAUACGACCUACGGGUGGAAGCAGGGGACCUUCGGGCCUUGCGCGAUUGAAUGAGCCGAUGUCGGAUUAGCUAGUUGGCGGGGUAAAGGCCCACCAAGGCGACGAUCCGUAGCUGGUCUGAGAGGAUGAUCAGCCACACUGGAAACGAGACACGGUCCAGACUCCGACGGGAGGCAGCAGUGGGGAAUAUUGGACAAUGGGCGCAAGCCUGAUCCAGCCAUACCGCGUGGGUGAAGAAGGCCUUCGGGUUGUAAAGCCCUUUUGUUGGGAAAGAAAUCCAGCUGGCUAAUACCCGGUUGGGAUGACGGUACCCAAAGAAUAAGCACCGGCUAACUUCGUGCCAGCCGCCGCCGUAACAC